rnacentral:rRNA from 1 species
AGUGAACGCUGGCGGUAGGCCUAACACAUGCAAGUCGAACGGCAGCACAGUAAGAGCUUGCUCUUACGGGUGGCGAGUGGCGGACGGGUGAGGAGUACAUCGGAAUCUACUUUUUCGUGGGGGAUAACGUAGGGAAACUUACGCUAAUACCGCAUACGACCUACGGGUGAAAGCAGGGGAUCUUCGGACCUUGCGCGAUUGAAUGAGCCGAUGUCGGAUUAGCUAGUUGGCGGGGUAAAGGCCCACCAAGGCGACGAUCCGUAGCUGGUCUGAGAGGAUGAUCAGCCACACUGGAACUGAGACACGGUCCAGACUCCUACGGGAGGCAGCAGUGGGGAAUAUUGGACAAUGGGCGCAAGCCUGAUCCAGCCAUACCGCGUGGGUGAAGAAGGCCUUCGGGUUGUAAAGCCCUUUUGUUGGGAAAGAAAAGCAGCAGGUUAAUACCCCGCUGUUCUGACGGUACCCAAAGAAUAAGCACCGGCUAACUUCGU